rnacentral:lncRNA from 1 species
UGGGAUCAAGAGCUGGAUGCAUUAUGAUGACAGUGGUGAAAAGCCUGUCAUCACGUUGAACAAGAAGCUUAGCUACCUCUACCAGGGCCACAACAUGACCCAUGGCAGGUACGGGGAUUAACACCACCCCUGCUUUCUUCAUUUUUUUUCUUGAAAAAUAAAAAUUUUAAUGAUGGAGGGACAAAGUGCGCUCUAAAUAAAUAGAUAGAUAGAUCCAAAGAUAAAUUAGAGUGAUGUCAUUGCUUACCUAGCUGAGAAAUUAAUUUCUAGAAAAGGACUGGAAUAUAAAUUAAUAAUUAUUAAAGUUCUAGAAGAUAAGUUUUCAUCGGAUCGUCAUGUUCCAUGGGAAAAAAGAAGAAGAAGUCAAUGAUUCCAAUUACAGGUGUUCCAAUAUUAAGAGUUCGGUUUAUAUAUUGCUAGAAUUAUAUAUUUAAAUAUGUUUAAUUAAUUAUAUGAUCUCACUAAUUUUUUUUAAAAAAAACAUUGAUUAAAAAAAUAAUAUAAUUAUAAGGUUUUUUAAACAUAUAUUUUCAAAUUACAAACCCAAAAGCCAUACCACAAUACUUAAACAUAUUCUAAGUCUGAACUCUAGCAUCUAAGAUUCGUUUCUUUAAAACAAGUUUCCUCCAAUCUUCUAAGCUUUGAUUAAUUUACUAAAUUUGCAAUCUCUAAGAUUCUAGAUGCAGGCUUAAUAAAAAAACUUAAUUUCAAAUUAAUUUAAUAUUAAAAGAUAAAACUAGAAAAAAACAUAUAUUAAUUUAAAAAAUUUAUCAAAGUAUAAAAUAAAAAUAGAAAUAAUAAAAUAAUGAUAAAAUCUGAUAGGAAAAAACUUAAGAAUAAUGAAAUUAUAGAAAAAUCAAUUUUAAAAAUUAUUUCAAAUAAAAUAAAUAGUAAUCAAAAGAAUAUUGAUCAAAUCUGACGGAUAAAAAAAUAAACGAUGAUGAAAUUAAUUGAAAAAAAUCUAAUUUUAUAAAUGAUUUCAAAUAAAAAAAACAAUAAUCAAAUAUGAAGGAAAAACAAAUUGAAAUGCUACUUUUAAAAUUUAGAGGGUUAUAUGUGUGCAGUAAUCAAGGAGAAGAGUGAAAAGAAGGGAAUAAAGAGAGAAAAGAUCAUCGGCAUCAAGUUAGAGAUCAAUAAGCCAUAUACGUCAUUUAAGGAUGGAGGAGCUGCCGAGACAAUUCGAAUACCAUUCAAAAAGUCAUUGUUUGAUCGUCUAACGCCUCUUUACUCGUGUUCUGAAUGGCGCAUAAACAAUCCAUGCAAUAACGCGUGUAAUUAAUGCACGGGACAUCUAUCUUUUUAAAUAAUAUUUAUAUUUAUAAAAUUAUUAAAUUGACCCUCAAUUAACUUAAUUGUAAAAAAAAAAAUCAUGAUGAAAAUAUAAAAACAUCCAUGGAUGCUAGUUAAAAAAAUGUUAUUUUUAAGAGUAAUUGAAUUAUUGUACUAUGCUUGAAAAAAUGAAAAUAAAAAAAUGUCAAUGGAUGCUGGUUUAAUUUUAUUUAUUUAUUUUAAAAAUAAUGUUAUUAUCUCACUAUACUUUAAAAAUAUGAAAAUAUCUAUUGAUCACCUAUCAAUGGUAAUAAUUAAUGGAUACUUGUGAAAAUUCACAAGAUCAUAUUAUCUAUAAUAGCUAAUUAUUUAGUUAUUUUUUAAAAGGAUAAAAAUGAAUUGCUAUAAUAAAUAACCACAAGUUCUGAUCUUAUCAGCACUCACAACAAUCUCCCUAUCACUAGUAGAAUAUCUUCUAUAAUCCAUUUUAAGCUCCAGUACUAAUCCCAAUUCAAUCACCAUGUUAAAAGCAUUAAGUUGUUGUUCUGUACAUAUUCAAUCACAACAAUCUCCUUACCACCAUUAGAAGCUUAUGCUAAUGUUUGAAUAGAUUAAACUAAAUCUCUACGAAAUCGUCACUAUAUGAUAAAGUAUUGGGUUUUAAUUGUUUCGUGGCACAUGUACAUUGUCUCCAGCAAUGAUCAUAUCUUUAAUCAAACGACUCAAUGAGGAGGAUGAAGAUCCACCUUCCAUCAUAGCUUUUCUACUCUUUUCACUCAAUUCUUUCAGCCUUUUCAAUUUAUGGCCAUCAUGCUCCAUGCCACUUUUUAUUCCUCUCUCAAUUUCCUUAGCACCCAAAAUUGUUUCAUUGCCAAUCAAAAACUCUCUUCUAUAAUCCAUUUUGAUUUCCACUGCCAAUCCCAACUCAACCACUACUUCAAAAGCAUUAAAUUGUUGUUCUGCAUACAUCGGCCAUGUAGCAAGGGGAACACCAAACCAUACACUCUCUAGUAUAGAAUUCCAUCCACAAUGUGAUAUAAAUUCUUUGAUGGAAGGAUGAGCCAAGACAUCCACUUGUGGUGCCCAUCCAAUAACCUUUCCAAUCUUCGCUGUUCGAUCCAAGAAUCCAUCUGGAAAGACUUCUUGCUGAUAUGCAUGAUCAACUAAGAAAUCGAUCUUUCCCUCUGAUGGAGGUUUGCGCAAGGACCACAAGAAUCGAUGUCCACUAUGUUCUAGUGCCCACGCGAUCUCUUUCACUUGAUCCACGCUGAAACUUCCCAUGCUCCCGAAACAGAGGAACACCACCGAGGACGGAGGCUGAUCAUCAAGCCAUAGCAUGAUGUCCCUAUAGCUGUUGCUUCCAUCUGAACCCACAUCAUGGACAUCACCCUUGAGAUUCAAAAUCGGUCCUACUGGAUAAACAGCAGGGUUUUCACCAUUAGAAAGACACUUAACAGCAUGUAAUUCCACCUCUUCAAAUGUAUUGAGAAUAAUACCCUUAGCUUCUCUAAACCUUCUUACAUGGUAAAGAACAACAGGAAGUGUGUCUUUGCUAAGCAUGACCGAAGGGAAAACCUUAACAGGAAGUGGGUUCACCAAAGUCGGUAUUUCAAACUCAGCAUCCACGUCCUUUAACUCAGUAAGGUCCACUUCCUGCUUAUCAUGAAGAUCCUGCAUAUGAAACUGGAAACCAAGAAAAGCAGCACUUGAUGUGAAGUAAAUGUAAGAGGGGACACCAAAUUCAUUGGCCACAUCAAUCAUUCCUGUACAAAACAUGUCAAGAACAAAGCAUGCAAGUCGAGGGGGGUUAGGGUUUAACUCUGACUGAGUUAUGAGCUUGGAAACAAAUUCUUUGACAUGGGGUUUCUCGCUUUCAAUCAAAGAAGUGACAAACUUAGAGGGAUGAUCAUUUGAUGUGUUGGUUUUAUCACUAGGUAGGUCAAUGAAUUGGAUACGAGUGGAUUUGGAAGAAGCAGUGAGUGACUCAGUGUACCUGCUGAUUUUGGAGUCUAAAGCUAGCCUAAUGAUGAUAACAGUGAUGGAAACUCUGUCAUCACGAUCAACAAGGAGUUUUGCUAACUCCAUCAUUGAAGCAAGGUGGCCAAUACCUGGGGAAGGUACAAGCACCAGCUCCGCUUUCUUCAUUUUGCUAAAAAUUCGGCUACAAAGAGAUUUUUGUGAUGCGCGUAGAAGGUAAUGAAUUUGUGGUGUUUAGAGUUGGAUCCCUGUUUAUACGCGUGGCGAUUCUGCCAACCAAAUUUAAGGAUUGGAAGGAUACAAGAGAGAAUAGGAAGGAUUUUUAUAAACCUUCCAACUCCUAUUCGGGGUGUGGAGGAGGACAUGAUUAAGUCUUACAAUUUUUUUGUCUCAUUUUUCCUUUGUUAACAUUUUUUUUUUGUAAUUUAAAAUCUAUAAAUCUAUAUUAGAAGUGUAAAUAAAAAAAGUAUGUGGUUUAUAGUUAUAAUUAAAUACUUUAUUGUAAUUUUAAAAUUAAACUUGGCUCAACAACUGCAUACCUUACCCAACUCUCCCAUGACUUUCCCUCGCCCAGACCACAGAUAGUACUAGAGGAAGGUAUGGUUUAGAAUCAAACACGUUGAGAUGGUUAGUUAGCUUAGAUGGUGACCUAUGCUAUUAAUUUUCUAGCUUUCCCUCAUACAUCAUGAAUCAUGAUGCUUUUUGGGCAAGACUUUGAGUGCUGAGACUUGGACAUGUUCAUUGAAAUGUAAAUGGUUGCAGCAGAGAAAAAGGCGGGGUUUCACAAAGCAUAGGAAAACCACUGGCUAUGGAGGUUGAUCAUCAAGCCAUUCCAUGAUACAAAGGAGGGGUUUUACCAUCCGAAAAGGCGUUGAUUACAUGGGAUUCAAGCUCCAUUAAUGUCUUUACCACAAUACCUCUUGCUUUUAUACCUUCUUGCAUUGCCGAAGUCAAUAGGAUGCCAGUCUUUGUUAAACACAACAGAAGGCAAAACAUUUGAAGGAAUCGUGUUAAUAAUGCCUGGCAACAUGAACUCAGCAUCUGAGUCCUUAAACUUGGUAGUGUCCACACUCUUCUUGUCAUUAAGAGAUGCAUACAAGUUAGUGUUUGUUUCGGAGGUCCUGAAAAAUUUUGAUUUUUUUUGUUUUUUAAAUUAGUUUUUUUUAAUGUUUUUGGAU